rnacentral:rRNA from 1 species
AUUGAACGCUGGCGGCAUGCUUUACACAUGCAAGUCGAACGCCCCGCAAGGGGAGUGGCAGACGGGUGAGUAACGCGUGGGAACAUACCCUUUCCUGCGGAAUAGCUCCGGGAAACUGGAAUUAAUACCGCAUACGCCCUACGGGGGAAAGAUUUAUCGGGGAAGGAUUGGCCCGCGUUGGAUUAGCUAGUUGGUGGGGUAAAGGCCUACCAAGGCGACGAUCCAUAGCUGGUCUGAGAGGAUGAUCAGCCACAUUGGGACUGAGACACGGCCCAAACUCCUACGGGAGGCAGCAGUGGGGAAUAUUGGACAAUGGGCGCAAGCCUGAUCCAGCCAUGCCGCGUGAGUGAUGAAGGCCUUAGGGUUGUAAAGCUCUUUCACCGAUGAAGAUAAUGACGGUAGUCGGAGAAGAAGCCCCGGCUAACUUCGUGCCAGCAGCCGCGGUAAAAC